CUCUCUCUCUCUCUCUCUAUGACAUCACCGAUCCCCUUCUCAAUCGACGACAAAGACCUAGACGAUGCCGCAUUAUGGGCCGUAAUUGACUCAGCCGCAGCUUCACACUCCUCCUCCUCCUCCAAAUCUCGCAAACCUCUCGCCAUUAAAUACCCUAACUACCAAUCCCCACCCACCCCGAUCUCCCACGCUUCUCCACCUCCAAACCCUAAAAACCACCACCACCACCACCACCACUACCACAACCGCAGGCAACAGUACUCCCCGAACUCUGAUCAUCACCGACAUGGAGAGAUCGUUGAUGCAAAUAUUCGGCGGCAGAAGAUGGCGAGAACGUGCGCGUCGGAAGUGAGCGAGAGUAGUCCUUUGAUUGUGGUGCACCGAACCCCGCCGAGUCCGCCUCUGUAUUCGUCUCCAGAGACAUAUUUAUCGCCGGGAAUUAGGUCGAAAAAUGAGGUGCAGGAGCAUGAUGUUGUGAAGCACAGCUUGUCUGGGAUGUUUCCUUCUGUUUCUCUAUUUAAAGAGUACCAGAACACAGCUAUGGCGAUUUUGGAGAAAUCAGAUUAUACUAUGAUUUCGGGGAACCCUUUCAUUAAAAAGUCAGGUUGGAGGAAGAUAUCAUUUUACUUCAAUCUCUCCUAUGAAAUCAAAGACAAGACUAUUGAAUUUGAUGAAAGCCGUAAUGUUCUGCGUGCUGAAUUUAUCGUUCGGGCAUGCAUGCAGGGUGGUAGGUUCUCAGAUGGAUGGGGCUCGUGUGAUCGGCGUGAGAAGAGAUUUUUAAAACCAAACCAUGAUAUCCCUAGUACAGCAGAAACCAGGGCUAAAAAUAAAGCAUGCCAGGAUCUGCUUGGACUUGGAGAGUACCGACCUGGUGUGAACCAAAUUCAGAAAUAAAUAUUCUUUCACCGCCUCGAAUCAGCAAUUCUGUUAACUAAAUUUUCAGUUAAUUACGUUGAUAAGAAAUUAUCAUACUUUGUGGCACUAACAUAAACCUGAUAACAGUAGAAACACAAGAAUUCAUGCCUCCUGUAAUGUUUGAAGCCAUUCAUGUAUUUCACAACCAUUGUUGUAAUGCAGUAAUUCACAGGAAGGAUCAUUUUCUCAAGUGUUGAAGUGGUGGGGACUAGUGUUCUUCAUCGUCGUUCAGUAGUUCGAAAAUUGAAGACAUCCUGGCCUGGAGUGGCUGGAGCUUGGACUAAUCAAAACAGGGAGAUCAGAGUUUGUUUGUGGACCAAAAGAAAAGGUGGCCCUCGAAAUACAGGAAGAUACAGUUUAUGUACACCCAAGCAAAGCAGAUCCUUCCCCUUUCCAUUUUU